rnacentral:misc_RNA from 1 species
GAUGAAGAACGUAGUGAAAUGCGAUACGUAAUGUGAAUUGCAGAAUUCAGUGAAUCAUCGAGUCUUUGAACGCACAUUGCGCCCCCUGGUAUUCCGGGGGGCAUGCCUGUCCGAGCGUCAUUGCUGCCCUCAAGCACGGCUUGUGUGUUGGGCCUCCGUCCUCCUCCCGGGGGACGGGCCCGAAAGGCAGCGGCGGCACCGCGUCCGGUCCUCGAGCGUAUGGGGCUUCGUCACCCGCUCUUGUAGGCCCGGCCGGCGCUUGCCGACACAUCAAUCUUUUUUCCAGGUUGAACUCGGAUCAGGUAGGGAUACCCGCUGAACUUAAGCAUAUCAAUAAGCGGAGGA